rnacentral:lncRNA from 1 species
UUCCUUAUUAUGAUUGCAUGGCUAUGUGCAGGAGAUGGUUCAGAUGGGGGCCCAAACCCAGCGCGUGGCAGGCAUGAAGGCAGGUGGUAUGGAAUGCUUCUCCUUUUGCUAUGUCCUCAUCCGCACAUAAGAUUCCUGGGCUUCCUGACUUCUCAACAAUUGUUGUGAAUGUAUGCUGCUGCCCUCUGGUGGUAGGUAGGUUGGAAGACAUGCUGCAGAAUCAACCUAGACCCAGAUGACUGGGUGCCUGAAGACUCAGACCUUAGUCAAUGGAAAAAAGAAUCAAAGGUAUUGGCAGAUAUUCUUAUCUCCUAGCAUACUCCUGGCUGCAGCUUGAAAAUGUGAAUAGAGCUGCCUGUGCUUUGCCCUGAAUCCACCCCAGAGCUAUAUUCUGGUUGAUUGAAGCUGUCUACUCUCCCAGGGGCCCAGCUGAGGUUGCUAGAAUUCAACCUUUUGGCAUUUGUUCAUCUUCCCUUAUAACCUAAUCUCUCAGCUACAUCCAACUCUCUCAUCUCCCAGCACAGGGUUCUCCUGGGAAGACUGGGGGACAAGCAUCUUUAAAUUUACAGCAUUCUUGUGGUCUGAAUUCCAAAUGUUUGCGCACUCAUGACGAGCUUGGCAGCUGUACAGCAGGUACUUUAUCGUAAAUGACGUAGUCAUAAGCCAGGUAUCUCGGCCCUGAGAACAAAAAAUUAUUAAUCUGAGUCAAGCUCUCAGAUAGGAAAAUGUUAACUCUUCUACCAUAUUGAUGGACUUUGCUAUGAUUUUUACUACUCUGUCCACUGCAUGUAUGUAUGAACGAUAAAGGUGGCAUCUUACCACUACAAGACAGGAUAUUAAAAACAAAGAGAAUUUAUUGAACUUUCUAGAGGCUAUUUGACUUUUCCUAUGAACUGUGGUCCUCCACUGCCAGGUUGCUGACCUGGCUCCCCAACAAACACCCCUAACACCUAUUUAUAUUAUAUUCUGAUGACAUAACACAACCUGGUGCUGCCUGAGACUCCAUUGUAAAGAAGAAAUAUAAAGCUCACAUCCACAGGUUGAUGGAGGACAUCAGAGGCAAAGAUCAUUCUCACACAAACAACUGGCAAGAUUGUUGGUAAUUGACCUUCACCAGGCAUCUGGGGUCCAUGCAACUUUCUGAGUUACUCAGAUUAAAGUACAUUUCACUUAAACUGGACAUCCUGGUUCAAGAUUAUGCCAGGUUUGUAUUCAAAUAAAUCUAAAACAGGGAGCCCUUGAAAGACCCACAACGUGAGGACUCCCCCACGUUCUGACUCAGGAGAGGUGACACCCCAAAAUCACCAACGAUAAACGGUCUUGCUGCAAAUUGCAAGAGGAUUUUUAUUCAAGAGCGCUCUAGGGCCCACGGUCAUACACGACGCAGUGGUAGAGGACUGUGGUGCGCCGAGUAGCUGAGUAAGGGGGUAUUUAAAGGAAGGAACCACAACUCAAGGAGGUGGGAAGGGCAUUGUUGGAAAAUACCAAAAAUACCAGUUAAGAGUCACAAGAAAAUACAAAGUCACAAGUGUCAGGUUAUCACUCAAGACAGUUUCUAAGAGCCCCUAACAAUCUAAGAGCCCCUAGCAAUAGCACCUUUGCAUAGUGGGUUCCAGUAGUGGUCAGGGUGGCUCAGGGUGACUUUCUUUGAAUGAACACUCUUUGAACCCAGGAAGCAGGUGGGUGGAGGAAGGAAUGUUGCUAUCUGCUUUAUGAUUAGCAUACCUUGGAGCAUUGAGUUUAUUACUCUUUCACCCUUACCUAGGAAGGGUUCCAAAUAUGAAAUAAACACCUCAGCAACUUUAGGGAAACUGACUUCAGCAAGCUCCAGCCUGCCAGGGGAUGGUAAAACUUUACUUGCUAGGUUUGCAGGUACCUUUUUGUUGAGGCCGGCCAGCAGCUCACAUGUAUGGGUUCAGCAAGGCCUCUACAAGAAUUAUGCCAAUUGUCACACCACAAUUUGUGACUCUUAGGCUAUAUUAGGAGCUAGAGGUCACCCUCCUCAUCUUCAUUGUCUCUAUGGCCUGAUGAAUCAGACCAAAAGCCACAAUAUGUACUGGAAUGCUUUUAGAAUGAAAAUUAGUAGCUGCCCUCUGCACGCUCUUGGGGGCAGGGAUACACACCUAGUACAGUCAGGCUGAAGGGUGUUGAUUGACCUGCUUGAAAAAAAAAUCCAGACAGUGAAAGGCAACAGUACAAAGUUUCUUUGUGGAAGCCCAGGUACUUUAUUCAGUUGCAAAUUAGCAACAAUC